CGCUUCCCAACCAGCAAAACCGAAGCUAUUGGAAAACUUUCCUGUGUGCCAAAGCGAGAGAGCAUGUCUUUUUUCUCUAGGUUUUGAACGGCACAACGCCGAUCGUGUGGCCUAUGAACGAAAAACGGGAGAAGGGGAAACCGAUAUCCUUCGAGUGACACACACGCAUGCAUCUGCAUGCGUAUUCCGCUAAACCGAGACUACACAUCUCUCUCGAUCUCCCAUGAUUUUUCUGCUAUCGCGCUCAUCCGGGUGUUAGGUAUCCUCAGUCUGUCCAGAACUUUCACUGUGGAAGGAUGUGUUGGAGUGAUGUGUGAUUUCUUGUGUCCCGUACUUUGCUCGUUUACGUUUUGUGCCGUGUUCCUUCUUCUUCAUUUAUGGAAUGAUUUAUCCUUGUAAAUUUCUAAGGUAAGUUUCUUAUCCUCGUGUGUGCUUCAAUGGAUACAUUCAACUAACACUUGUCGUCUAAAAAGUUACAGUGCACGCGCAUGUUAAUCGACGGUUGCCAACAUCCCGCAAAACGAUCGACGGAAGGAAAACGGUGUCCGGUUUUAAAAUAUAAAGAUUUCAUUACAGCUCUUUCGUAGAAGAGCGCACUUCAAUGACGCCUAGGAUACGGCUAAACAUGCGCAGCACCAGUCCGUGACGUCAUUUCCAGACAGGCGCCGGCUGAACACGCGCAGCACCAGUCGAGGAUAUCCUAGCGCAGAGGGUAGAAGGAAGAACGAGAGGAAGGGUAACAGAAAGCAACCGCAGCAUUUGGAAGGGGUGAAGCAUCCUGCCGUAUACAGAGUGUGAGUGUGCCAAAACGCAUGUGGAAAGAGUAACACCAAUAAAUAGCAUGCGAAAGUGUGCAUAAAGCAAAAAGAAAAAGCGUCACUACUACAACCAGCAAUCCGAAAAUAUAAGGGGAGGGAUAAAUACAAAUGUAUGCGUAAGCAGGACCAGCAAUCCAAGCAUUUGAAUGUGUGCGUCGGUUUGUGCCGUGCUGAAAGUUUUUACUUUAGCUGCUGCUAGUGUAAAAACUUAAGGAAAGCUUAAAGUAAAAAUUUUUUACACGGGGCGCCUUCGGAAAUUGUUGGCUGGGUUAGUGUGUGUUGUGCGCUCGGACAAGCAGGUGUUGCGAGCAGCCGGUCGAGCAGGGCUCCCGGCAGGGGACGGUACGGCUGGCGCGCGGCCGAGUAUUUUAAUGUGUAUUGUGCUUGUGAGUUUAUACUUAUUAUGUGUACUGUAAUUUUGUAUGUAAUAAAGUACCUGAGAGCAAGUCAAAGACACAACAGUGGCGACGAGGAUGGGAUCCUCUUGCGUAAGGAGGAUCCCUAGAAGAACCCGCGGUCGCCAUCGCGAUCGAGCGCGUCGGUUGGAGCCGGCGCCAUCGCGAUGGCACGGGUCCCCGCGACAGUGGGACGCCGUUCGACAAGGACCGCUGCCGCCGCCGCCGUUAAGACCGUGGCCCCGGCUGUCGUCCCGCGAUGGGGACAGAAGGGACAGCCGCACACACACACUCGGCGAUGUUUGAUUCGCCGGGCUGCAGGCCCAGGGAGCGCCGGCAAUGGAAAGGUCGAAGCCUGAUUGCCGGGCCAUCUGCGGCGACGCUAGGUGUCGUCGGGCUGCAGCCCAAGGAGCGCCGGCAGUGUAAGAGGCGAAUUGUCUUUCUGCCUAGCUGCCGGGCCAUCAUUGGUGACGCGAGAGGUCACUGAGUUGCUGCCGCUGUGUUCGACGGAGAGGGGGCGAGAUGCCAUGCCCCGCUGCAGCCGUCGUGUUGGACGGAGAGGAGGGCGAGGUUCCAUGCCGCCCCGCUGCAGUCGUCGUAGACCAGUGAGAGGGGGCGAGGUUUCAUGCCGCCCCGCUGCAGCAGUAGUGUCAACGGAGAGGGGGCGAGGUCCCAUGCCGCCCCGCUGCUGCCGUUGUGUCGACGGAGAGGGGGCGAGGUUCCAUGCCGCCCCGCUGCUGCCGUUAUGUUCGACGGAGAGGGGGCGAGGUCCAAUGCCGCCCCGCUGCAGCCGUUGUGUCAACGGAGAGGGGGCGAGGUCCCAUGCCGCCCCGCUGCAGUAACAGUGUCAACGGAGAGGGGCGAGGUUUCAUGUCGCCCCGCUGCUGCCGUCGUGUUUGACGGAGAGGAGGGCGAGGUCCAAUGCCGCCCCGAUGCAGCAAUAGUGUCAACGGAGAGGGGGCGAGGUCCCAUGCCGCCCCGCUGCUGCCGUUUUUUUUAUUCGUCGGAGAGAGGGGGAGGUCGCAUUCCGUCCCCAGUUGCAGCACCGACGUGUUGUUCCCGACGUGAAGGGCGAAAUGUGUGCCGUCCUUGCUGCAGCAAUUGUACCACCGCUACAGGAUGCCAUAACGGGCUGCUGGGAUAUGCUCUUCAGCCGGAUGAGGCUUGCGGGACAAAUCGGUCGCCGCCGGAGAGAUCGCCAGCAGCAGCGUAGCAGCGUGCGGAACGAGUUGCUGGGAAAUGCUCUCCUGCCGGAUGAGGCUAGCGGGACAUUACGGUCGCCGCCGGGGAGAUAUCCUGCAACGUCGUAGCAGCGUUGCGGUAGCCGGGUAGCGGGGUCGCAGCUUAGGAGCAGCAUUUGCGUAAAAAAAUGCCCCAGGACAAGGGUCUAUGGCCGGAGGGUGUCACCACACCGAUAUUCCCGCUAUGGAAUAUGCGCGUGUCGGUUCGACACCCUCCGGAUAAGUAAAAGGUGGAGAUGUUGUGGGCAGCCGUGCCGACCCCUGGACUUGCCGUGGUAGUUGUGCUGCCACUGGUCAAUGUCCAGGAGACGACAGUGUGUCACGCACACUGUCGUACGCACACUAAGCGCGGGCCGCUUAGUGUGUGUUGUGCGCUCGGACAAGCAGGUGUUGCGAGCAGCCGGUCGAGCAGGGCUCCCGGCAGGGGACGGUACGGCUGGCGCGCGGCCGAGUAUUUUAAUGUGUAUUGUGCUUGUGAGUUUAUACUUAUUAUGUGUACUGUAAUUUUGUAUGUAAUAAAGUACCUGAGAGCAAGUCAAAGACACAACAUUAAU